AGUGCCACAGAAAAAAUACCGCCUCGACUCAGUCGAGGUAAGGGUGAAAAGGCGAGGUAAGAGCUCACCGCUUCGACAGUAAUGUCGGAGGUCCCGUUAAGGGAUUCCGCUUUUGCGGAACAAGGCAAACCACACCCGAAGCAAGGUCAAGUAUAAAGGUCGUUUCUCUUUUGAGAAGCAGAGUUGUUCGCUCGAAUGAUUCCUGAUUGGAAUCGCGAUCUUUGGGUAGACCGCUGGAUCCGAACAGUAAUGUUCGGGCAAGAUAAAUAAUUGCCACCCCAAUAAACAUUUUGGGGAGUACAGAAUUCGGCUUACAGGUUUGUUAUUAUC
rnacentral:RNase_P_RNA from 1 species